rnacentral:rRNA from 1 species
AUUGAACGCUGGCGGCAUGCCUUACACAUGCAAGUCGAACGGCAGCACGGGUGCUUGCACCUGGUGGCGAGUGGCGAACGGGUGAGUAAUACAUCGGAACAUGUCCUGUAGUGGGGGAUAGCCCGGCGAAAGCCGGAUUAAUACCGCAUACGAUCCACGGAUGAAAGCGGGGGACCUUCGGGCCUCGCGCUAUAGGGUUGGCCGAUGGCUGAUUAGCUAGUUGGGGGGGUAAAGGCCUACCAAGGCGACGAUCAGUAGCUGGUCUGAGAGGACGACCAGCCACACUGGGACUGAGACACGGCCCAGACUCCUACGGGAGGCAGCAGUGGGGAAUUUUGGACAAUGGGCGAAAGCCUGAUCCAGCAAUGCCGCGUGUGUGAAGAAGGCCUUCGGGUUGUAAAGCACUUUUGUCCGGAAAGAAAUCCUUGGCUCUAAUACAGUCGGGGGAUGACGGUACCGGAAGAAUAAGCACCGGCUAACUACGUG